rnacentral:rRNA from 1 species
ACUCAAAGGAAUAGACGGGGACCCGCACAAGCGGUGGAUGAUGUGGAUUAAUUCGAUGCAACGCGAAAAACCUUACCUACCCUUGACAUGGCAGGAACGGAGCAGAGAUGUUCCGGUGCCCGAAAGGGAGCCUGCACACAGGUGCUGCAUGGCUGUCGUCAGCUCGUGUCGUGAGAUGUUGGGUUAAGUCCCGCAACGAGCGCAACCCUUGUCUCUAGUUGCUACGAAAGGGCACUCUAGAGAGACUGCCGGUGACAAACCGGAGGAAGGUGGGGAUGACGUCAAGUCCUCAUGGCCCUUAUGGGUAGGGCCUCACACGUCAUACAAUGGUCGGUACAAAGGGCAGCCAACCCGCGAGGGGGAGCCAAUCCCAGAAAACCGAUCGUAGUCCGGAUUGCAGUCUGCAACUCGACUGCAUGAAGUCGGAAUCGCUAGUAAUCGCGGAUCAGCAUGUCGCGGUGAAUACGUUCCCGGGUCUUGUACACACCGCCCGU